UUUAUCUAAAAACAUAAAUUUAAGUGUUUCAACUGUAAAUUAUAUUAGAGAGAAAGCAAAACAAAUGCAGAAUGCACAAAAGCCACAUGCAGCAUGUGCGAAAAGUUUCCAUUUAUCACUGUAAAAUUAUGUAAUUAAAUUCGAAUAUGUAAGCAAUAUAAAAGUUUAAAAAAAAAAAAAAAAAAAAAAAAAAGUGAGCAAAAAAAGAAAACUCAAGGCAUCACAACGCAGUUUCAGGCAAGCUAACAAAAACAAACUAAAAACAAUCUUAGAAUUCAUUAGCACCCACAAAAGAACUUUAACUCUCCAGAGCUCCCUACAUUUUAGAAGAAAUUUCAAGCAAAACUCAAGUAAAG